GAGCGGCGAACGGGUGAGUAACACGUGAGCAACCUGCCCCUGACUCUGGGAUAAGCCCGGGAAACUGGGUCUAAUACCGGAUACGACCGCCCCCGGCAUCGGGUGGUGGUGGAAAGUUUUUUCGGUUGGGGAUGGGCUCGCGGCCUAUCAGCUUGUUGGUGGGGUAGUGGCCUACCAAGGCGACGACGGGUAGCCGGCCUGAGAGGGCGACCGGCCACACUGGGACUGAGACACGGCCCAGACUCCUACGGGAGGCAGCAGUGGGGAAUAUUGCGCAAUGGGCGGAAGCCUGACGCAGCGACGCCGCGUGGGGGAUGACGGCCUUCGGGUUGUAAACCUCUUUCAGCAGGGACGAAGUUGACGUGUACCUGCAGAAGAAGCGCCGGCUAACUACGUGCCAGCAGCCGCGGUAAUACGUAGGGCGCAAGCGUUGUCCGGAAUUAUUGGGCGUAAAGAGCUCGUAGGUGGCUUGGUCGCGUCUGCCCGUGAAAGCCCGNAGCUUAACUGCGGGUCUGCGGUGGAUACGGNCCGGCUAGAGGUAGGUAGGGGCAAG
rnacentral:rRNA from 1 species